GAUGAACGCUGGCGGCGUGCCUAAUACAUGCGAGUCGAGCGAACGGACGAGAAGCUUGCUUCUCUGAUGUUAGCGGCGGACGGGUGAGUAACACGUGGAUAACCUACCUAUAAGACUGGGAUAACUUCGGGAAACCGGAGCUAAUACCGGAUAAUAUUUUGAACCGCAUGGUUCAAAAGUGAAAGACGGUCUUGCUGUCACUUAUAGAUGGAUCCGCGCUGCAUUAGCUGGUUGGUAAGGUAACGGCUUACCAAGGCAACGAUGCAUAGCCGACCUGAGAGGGUGAUCGGCCACACUGGAACUGAGACACGGUCCAGACUCCUACGGGAGGCAGCAGUAGGGAAUCUUCCGCAAUGGGCGAAAGCCUGACGGAGCAACGCCGCGUGAGUGAUGAAGGUCUUCGGAUCGUAAAACUCUGUUAUUAGGGAAGAACAUAUGUGUAAGUAACUGUGCACAUCUUGACGGUACCUAAUCAGAAAGCCACGGCUAACUACGUG
rnacentral:rRNA from 1 species